AACGAACGCUGGCGGCAGGCCUAACACAUGCAAGUCGAGCGAAGCCUUCGGGCUUAGCGGCGGACGGGUGAGUAACGCGUGGGAACGUGCCCUUUGCUACGGAAUAGCCCCGGGAAACUGGGAGUAAUACCGUAUGUGCCCUUCGGGGGAAAGAUUUAUCGGCAAAGGAUCGGCCCGCGUUGGAUUAGGUAGUUGGUGGGGGAAUGGCCUACCAAGCCGACGAUCCAUAGCUGGUUUGAGAGGAUGAUCAGCCACACUGGGACUGAGACACGGCCCAGACUCCUACGGGAGGCAGCAGUGGCGAAUCUUAGACAAUGGGGGAAACCCUGAUCUAGCCAUGCCGCGUGAUCGAUGAAGGCCUUAGGGUUGUAAAGAUCUUUCAGUGGGGAAGAUAAUGACUGUACCCACAGAAGAAGCCCCGGCUAACUCCGUGCCAGCCGCCGCGGUAAUAC
rnacentral:rRNA from 1 species